rnacentral:misc_RNA from 1 species
GCAUAUCAGCCACCAACUAUAUAUAAAAGCAAAGAAAAGAAAUUAAAAAAAAGAAAUGAACAAGUUGGAAUGAUUGGGUUAUGGGCUCAUGCAUUGCUUUCCUAGGACGUAAAAAUAGAAAUGAGUGGGUUUUGAUUUAUUUAGUGGGUUUAAUUGUGGAGUGGUUGGUUGAUAUUCCAUCAAAGUGCACCACUUCUAAGCCUUUUUUAAGCACACAUAUGAAUCCUCAGCUAAAUGACCAAUUAGCUGUCGGGGAAGCUGAGCUGAAGGAAGCGAAAGCGUGACGAAACAGGGAGAGAUAACGCAUGCACAAGGGAUAUGUGUUCGCUAAUGACACUAUCCACGUGUGUCUCUUCUAGGCCCUACGAUAUCAUUUCUUGAUUCCUUCACACCUAUCAUUUAUCAUAUCAAUCUCUUUUUUACACUUUUCUUUUGUAUAUUUUUUUGUGUCUCAACCAGGCCAAGACAAGCAAUCCCACCCAAUAGUUCAACAUUUU